rnacentral:rRNA from 1 species
UACGUAGGGUGCGAGCGUUGUCCGGAAUUAUUGGGCGUAAAGAGCUCGUAGGCGGCUUGUCACGUCGGAUGUGAAAGCCCGAGGCUUAACCUCGGGUCUGCAUUCGAUACGGGCAGGCUAGAGUGUGGUAGGGGAGAUCGGAAUUCCUGAUGUAGCGGUGAAAUGCGCAGAUAUCAGGAGGAACACCGGUGGCGAAGGCGGAUCUCUGGGCCAUUACUGACGCUGAGGAGCGAAAGCGUGGGGAGCGAACAGG